rnacentral:rRNA from 1 species
UAAGACGAACCGUGCGAACGUUGUUCGGAUUCACUGGGCUUAAAGGGCGCGUAGGCGGGCCGGCGCGUCAGAGGUGAAAGCCCCCGGCUCAACCGGGGAAGGGCCUCUGAUACCGCCGGUCUCGAGGGAGGUAGGGGCGGCUGGAACUUCCGGUGGAGCGGUGAAAUGCGUAGAUAUCGGAAGGAACGCCGGUGGCGAAAGCGAGCCGCUGGACCUCAUCUGACGCUGAGGCGCGAAAGCCAGGGGAGCGAACGGGAUUAGAUACCCCGGUAGUCCUGGCCCUAAACGAUGGGUACCAGGCUGGGGGCCGGCAUGGGCCCCCGGCCGAGGCAAAAGUGUUAAGUACCCCGCCUGGGGAGUAUGGCCGCAAGGCUG